AAUUGAUCGUGGUUCAGGACGAACGCUGGCGGCGUGCUUCAUACAUGCAAGUCGAACGAGAAACUGACUUCGGUCAGUGGAAAGUGGCGGACGGGUGAGUAAUAUGUAGAGAAUCUGCCCUAGAGAGGGGACAACAGUUGGAAACGACUGCUAAUACCCCAUAUGCGCGUAGUUGAAAUACUAUUCGUGAAAACUCCGGUGCUCUAGGAUGAGUCUGCAUCUGAUUAGCUGGUUGGCGGUGUAAUGGACCACCAAGGCGACGAUCAGUAGCUGGUUUGAGAGGAUGAUCAGCCACAAUGGGACUGAGACACGGCCCAUACUCCUACGGGAGGCAGCAGUAGGGAAUUUUGCGCAAUGGGGGAAACCCUGACGCAGCAACGCCGCGUGAACGAAUAAGCCCUUCGGGGUGUAAAGUUCUGUCAGUGGGGACGAAACUUGACGGUACCCACAGAGGAAGCAUCGGCUAACUCCGUGCCAGCCGCCGC
rnacentral:rRNA from 1 species